rnacentral:rRNA from 1 species
ACAAGCAGCGGAGCGUGUGGUUUAAUUCGAUGCUACACGAAGAACCUUACCAGGGUUUGACAUGCAAGUGGUAGGAACCGAAAGGUGACCGACCCUUCGGGAGCUUGCACAGGUGCUGCAUGGCUGUCGUCAGCUCGUGUCGUGAGAUGUUCGGUUAAGUCCGCUAACGAGCGCAACCCUCGCUGUGUGUUAUAUGUGUCACACGGGACUGCCGGUCUUAAGCUGGAGGAAGGUGGGGAUGAUGUCAAGUCAGCAUGGCCUUUAUAUCCUGGGCUACACACACGCUACAAUGGCCAGCACAGUAGGUUGCUAAGCCGCGAGGUGGAGCCAAUCCAUAAAGCUGGUCUCAGUUCGGAUUGCAGACUGCAAUUCGCCUGCAUGAAGUCGGAAUCGCUAGUAAUCGCAGGUCAGCAUACUGCGGUGAAUACGUUCCCGGGCCUU